rnacentral:tRNA from 1 species
GGAGAUGUAUCGAAGAGGUCAUAACGGGGCGCACUCGAAAUGCGUUAGCCUUCACGGGCACGUGGGUUCGAAUCCCACCAUCUCCGCCA